UGCGAUGUAGCUUCAUGGUAGAGCACUUGCCUGGCAUGCUUGAGGCCUUGGGUUUGAGCCUCAUCAAGGCAA
rnacentral:tRNA from 1 species